AAGAUAAUAUUUUGUUUAGUACUUCUACCGUUGUAGAUAAUGUUGUACGAGUUAUAUCAGGUCAAACUCUAGUUUCUCUAGUAAAGAAUCGUGUAUCAACCUCCUGCCAAUUUCAAAGCACCAUGCUAAUACAGCUAGCUAAACAAUGGGUGACAGUGGUGGGGUAGGUUGUAACAUGUGUUUUAAAAGUGUUACAAUCAUCCCCUUAUAUACAACUAAGAACAUUUUUGUGAUCAUUUUACAGAAUGCCUAGAACUUGAGAAAAACAGAUCGUGGAGUCGAUGCCAGUCUUUUAAAAAGAGCAGCAGAGGAAGGUAGGAAAGUAAAGUCUGUUAGGGCAGAGGCAAAAUCCCAUGGAAUCUGCCAUGUAACCUUGAACAGAUAUUGGCAGAAAUAUAAAGAACUGAAAGAUCAGGGAUCGAGGGACCUUCCUUGUGUAGGAUACUACAGUCCUCACCAGGUCUUCACCAGGGAGAAGGAGGAGACUUUGUCACAGUAUAUAAGCCAGGCAGCCGAUAUAUACUAUGGGCUAACUCCACAUGAGGUCAGAAAGUUUGCCUAUCAACUCGUGGUGGAAUUCAACAUACAGUGCAGCAUCCACAAACCUGGGAUGAGAAGAAAAUGGCGGGGCCUGAUUGUUUUGGCAUGUUUAUGUAUCGGAACCCCAGACUUUCAGUGACUAGCCUUUCAAGAGCUACCAGUUUUAAUCAUGCUAAUGUGGAACUCUUCUUCAGUCGACUGGGGGAGGUGAUUGAUAAAAAUGGGUUUGAUGGCAGUGACAUAUGGAAUGUCGACGAAACCCUUAGUUUUUGUGCAUUUUGUCUACCUGUUACAACUUACCCCAGUAUGUGUUACAACCUACCCCAGUAGUGGGAUAGGUUGAAACAAAGGACCACCUUGUAUUUGUCAUCAUCUCACAAAGUCUGUAACAUAGUUGAAUAAAUUUAAAUUGUUGCCAUUUGUAGUAGACAAAUGUGGGUACUUUGCCUAAAUGUUUCAGACGUGUAGCCUAAAAAAAAGGUAGUUUUAGGUGCUGAAGAAAAAAGUGUUACAACCAUACCCGGUCUCCCCUAAUAUUAACGGGUUCUGGCACCAUAAUACAUCUAAAAAAUUCAUUAAAACAGCUCGACACCGAUUUAAUUUUGCACGAAGUUCUGGAAAAACUGUGUCCAGCAUCAACAUGAGGUUUGCAACGAUGCGCCCGAAGGGACGGGUUGAAGACCCAGUCCGUGACGUCACGAUAUGCUAAUUUAUUUAAAGUCAUACCUACGUAAUCACCAUCACCAAAAUUGUACUGUUUUUUUACAUUGAAACUUGAAAAAAAUAUAUAGACCUACCUACCGACUCUUUUUUUUUUUUUUACUGUUACUGCAAACCAAAAUAUUUUUAAGGAUGGCCUGGAUAUUCUUUUUUUUUUUUUUUUUUUGUAACCAGACAUACAGGAAGUGAUUACUUCUGUGCAAGACGUUAGGCCUGUUUAGGUUCUUGAAAUCACUUUAAUAAUGUUAUUAAACAGUUAAGGACAUUUUAAACAAAGUAGGAAAAACUUAGCUUGAGCAAUUUUAGUUGAUUUUAUUAAAACUAUUUUCGUUUUAUUUUCGUUUUCAUUCUCUGUAGAGAUUCUAAUCCCUGAUUCUAACCAAACAAUAAUUAACUUUAUUAAGGCAGGGGAACAGGUUCCUAAUCACUAAAUUAUGUCAAUGUGAUUGAAUUGUUGAAACCAGAUUAUUAACUCAAAGCUAUUGUGACCUUACAGCAGGAUUUAUUUAAAGAACCCUCUGUAAUAUUUAUCCCGUUACACUAUGAUUUAUUAAUCCCAGGAAACGAGGUGAUGUGUUUUGGGGCCACAGGGGUUUAUUUCCCAGAAGUCUUUAAUAAGUAAACAGCACAACAGUGUCAUAAACAUAUACAGUACACAUUGUUAACAAGAUUAUUAUAAAUCACACACUCUGAGUUGCCAUUUCUGCACAUUUAGGUUCCUCUAGAAAGAAGGUGUUUUUAAAAGUGCAUUGAGCUGUUGUGAAUUCCUACGUAGUACGCUGUCGCUCACUCAGACUUCGAGCUGAGGGAUCAGGCCUACAUAAACACUUUGCAUCUCCUCCUUGCUGUUCAGCUCAUACAUCUCCAGGAUUUCACUGAGCUGCUCAUCAGGGAGGAGAAAACAGCAUUCCUGCUGUAUUCCUGUGGAUCAGACAUGUGCCCGGUGUCUGAAAGCAGCACAUAGUGAACCUGCUCCCAAGGUCUGCUUUAGAAAACCUCCAAUCCUCCACCUCCAAUCCCGCGCCAAGGUCAGAGGGUCGGGCUGGUGACAAAGAUCUGUCCAUUGUUGUGCAUUGAGUCCAAGAAGUUGGCGCCAUGCUACAUUGGCCCGUUCAAGAUCCUGCGGCUGAAUAAUCCCAUGGUUUACCACCUGCAACUCCCCCAGACCAUGAGGAUCAACCCUACAUUCCAUGUUGCUAGACUGAAACCUGUCCUCUGUAGCUCUCUAGCGCCCCCUGUUGACCAAGCCCCACCCCCAUCUCGUCGAUGGAGCCCCGGCCUUUACGUGCCAGAGUACAGCGGUAAUACUUAUCAGAGCGUGUAGCACUCUGAGAGGUAACAUAUAUACCACAGGAGUUAGGAAAAGAGUUUCCGAUUGAGUUCCAGCGUGGUUAUAUGUAUCAGAGCGCAUAGCAUCUGAUUUUCUGAUUUUUUGAUAUUCUGAUUGUCUGAUUUUCUAUCUACUACUCGAGUUCUAACAUUAAAGCUUAGACAAUUCCUAAAUACACAAGGUCAAGUACUGUACAUUAUUUUAUUUAAUUAUAUAUAUAUACAGUAUAUCAGAGGGUGAGGUGGGUGUGGGAGGGUUCACAGAGAUACACGUGAUUCGAAAGAUGAAAGAUAAAGGUGUUUUCUUCACAGAAUUGGAGACUGCUCUGAAUUUUUUUUACUUUUAUUUGUUGGUGUUAGUUUAUAUCUGUGACGGUAAUGUAAAUAUUUUUUUUUUGCUAAAAUGGAGUCAAAAUGCAGCAUUUUUUGUUUGCUUUUGGAAAACUUCAGAUCAACCUAAUGUGUUUUUUUGGACAAAUGAUUCUAAAAUGUAAUUAUUUGGAGACCGUAACACACGGCAUAUGUGGUGUUAACCAAAUACAGCUUUUUAGAUCUAAAUCAAAUCUAAAUCCUAUUGAGAUUCUGUGGAGUGCUUUGUAACAGACUGUGCAUGCACGAAACCCCUCAAACAUUACACAAAGAAAGAAUACUAAAAGGUCAUUUUGCAGCAUAAAAAUGACCAUGGGCUUUAUUACGUUUUCUUUUAAAAGAGAUUGCUGUAAAAACUCUUCA